rnacentral:rRNA from 1 species
AGCUCCAAUAGCGUAUAUUAAAGUUGUUGCGGUUAAAAAGCUCGUAGUUGGAUUUCUGUUGAAGACGGCCGGUCCGCUCUAUGAGCGUGUAUCUGGUUCGGCUUCGGCAUCCUCGUGAGGAACGUAACUGUGCUUGAUUGCAUGGUGCGGUAAUCACGACUUUUACUUUGAGGAAAUUAGAGUGUUCACGGCAGGCCAUUGCCUUGAAUAUAUUAGCAUGGAAUAAUAAUAUAGGACUUUGGUUCUAUUUUGUUGGUUUCUAGAACUAAAGUAAUGAUUAAUAGGGAUAAGUUGGGGGCAUUUGUAUUAACGCGUCAGA